UAUUUCAGUCAGUAAGUUGUGCUGCUCUAUAUAAACGAGCACAAUCUGCAGUUGCUUGGGCAUCAUCAACUGGUGAUUGACAGUAUUGACAGUAUGCCAGCAUUUGGGAGUCCUAUCUUUUACAGUUAGAAUCAUGGCCUCCUGUUUAAUCUUUACAUGACAAAAGUUACUUUCUACAUUUUUUUGUUUUCCCUGCUCUACUGAAAACAUACAGAAUCCUAACCAAUGACUGUAAAGUUUGUGUGUCGUUACACCCCUACUAGUGAACUAUUGGCCCAUAUGUACACAAUCAUUUGUAUCUCCUAAAAUAUUUCUGUUUAUUUCUGAAAGAUGGAUGAGUUUGUGAAGGCAAAACUUCUGGAAUGGAACCUGGCUGAAUUGCUCCCUGCUUUUGAAGGAUGCAUGGUUCACACCAGGGAGGAGGCAUAAACCAGCAACAGGGUUUCUCGAGGAGCGCCUCCGCAAUGUCCGCAAAAGGCUCCGCACUGGCAGGCGGGGUCAUUCAGCACUCCAAGUGCCACAUGAAGUGCCUCAAGUAAUUUUGCCAGAACCAACAAUAACUCCAGAGCGGGCCAUCCAGUUAACUGAAUGGUUGAAAAACAACAUCUGGCCACCAUCCCAGGUUGGCCAACACAUGCUGGAGACCGCCACCCAUAGAGCACAGUGGAUAAGGUCAAACGGGACAACUCCAGUCAAAGAUAUAAUCGCAGAGUUUCCGCGCUUGGUGGACACUCCAGACAUGGUGAGCUUACA